CCACCAGUUCCCAAAAGAAGUUUGUCCAUGCACGCAGAGCUGAAAGCGAGAGAGGGAAGAAGCUAUACGGUGAUGGACCCGCUGCCUUCCAUCGAGCAGGCAGCCAGGUGGAACCACAAUGCCGGAUUAAUAAGAGAAAUGUGAAUGCAGUUUUCCCAAGAAAUGAAGCAAUCCAUUUGAACCACAGAUGGCAUGUUGGUAUUGAUAGGGAUGGAUUACUGACCAGGCCAGUGGGGUCAGUGCAGGAGCCUCUGACUGUCUUAGACCACAAGGAUGGAGGUGGUCCAAAUGCUUUUGGUGUUGCCACAAAAAUGGGAUUAUUUAGACAGUUGCUUUCACCCUUCCAUGACUUAGUUUGGCUUGAAAGAAAAAUAGACGAAGUCGUGAUUCUUACACAAACCUCUUCAAAUCUUGCACAAAAUGCUGUUAUGAAGAUAUCACACAUGAAUAAGGCUAUUUUUAGAAAAAAUAAUAAAAAAAUCAUUGUUGCUAAAACUGCAUAUGGAUGUAAAAUACUGUUGUAAUUUCUUUUUUUCCCCUUAUUUUACUGUUGAAAUGUGGGGGCCUCCAAAGACUCUUACGCUCAGGGGCCAUGCAAGGCCAGGGUCUGUCCCUGCUACAUGUUGAAUAGUGUUUCUCUUUGUAAGUGUUGUGCACACCUUUUAUUUAAUUAGAUCACACCAAUGAAAUAUAACGUUCAUUGUGAAAUAAAAAUAUGUUUAUGUUAUUAUUGCUUCUCUGGUUGGGCGUAAAUGUCCUCGUUUAGCAGUUCUCUAGCUAAAUGCUUCAGAGUGAUAGAUAACAGGUUUGAAUGCUGAAGUUCAUACAGUCAUGUGGGCCAUUGAUACUGUGACUCUUUGCAACUGUGACAUCUAGCCUAUACAAUGCAAGACAGGCAAAAGCAAAUUGUGUAAGUUUUUUGGAUGUUGGUUCUGUGAGGAAUGUAAGAGAUCAAGCUAAAUGAUUCUGCUUGGUUGUCAUAGUGACAGUAUGUUAUAUGAGAAGUUUCUCUGUGUCCCUCUGGCUUAGGUAGGGUACGAUUAAGGCUACAAGUCUUAAUUUGUGUAUGUUAGACAAAACUAACUCAUAUUUACAGACAUACUAAAAUCAUUGAACACAGCCGUUUUGCUGUCCACACUAUAGAGAAAAAUAUAAUUCUGUGUCUUUUAGUGUUUUAAGGGUUUCCCAGACAGAGAUUAGGCCUAAUGCUGGGUUACAAUUUUCAUUUAAAGUAGGAUCUCCAGUAAGAAUGCUGUGUAGUCCUGGACUAGACUUAAUCUCGGCCUGUAAAACUGACUCUAAACUUAUAGCCUAACUAAUGUAAAGAUGUAUGCAAAAGUGUGGGCACCACUGGUCAAAUUACAUGUUUUGUUGAUUUCCUAAGUGAGAAUAAGUGAACACAUCCUCUGCAGAGAACAAACCUCUGUGCAUUUUAAUGCGCAAUUACUGUUUUUGCUGAGUUUAGCAUAUUAAAAAAACAUAAAAUGUAGCCUAUGCGAAAGUUUAAACGUUAUAUAUUUUAUGUUAUAUUUUUUUAAUAUGUUAAGUGUUUGAUGAGUUGCUACUUGUAAAGAAUGUGUUCGCUUAUUUUCACUUAGAAAAUCAACAAAACAUGUCCUUUGACCAGGGGUGUUCAAAUGUUUACAUACAACUAUAGGUUACAACCUAAAUGUAUAAACAGUUACUACUUUAUAAUAAAGAGAAUCCUUUUUUCAGAAUUCAAUUUCCCAUCAUGAGAUACAAAUCUCAUAUAAAGUAGCUCUUGUUUCCCCUUAACAGAAAGACAAUGAGCAUCUUUGAAAUUUCUAAACAGCAUGCCUCUAUCCUUUUGAGUAUUCAGAGUUCAGGAAGUCAGUCUGCUUUCUCAUCCCACAAAUAUGGAUGUUCAUGCAUUUCCUGUGUUGAUCACAAGCAAAAUAUACCAAACAGAAGGUCAACAGGAUGUUUAGCUCACAGAAGUCUCUCAGACGUCCAGCAGAGGUGUUGCUGUUAGGAGACUCUUUGUUCUUUAAGACUAGCAGUGUGGAAAAUUCUUGCGUAAUGGUACUUUAUUUCUAUAAUUAAGUACUUUACUUGAGUGCUAUUGAAUUUAAAUAAUUAUACUUUUACUCAAUUAAAGAACUUUUUUUUCUUUACAUUUUCUUUAUUUUAUGACCUUCAGAGUGCUCAUUACAAAU